CCGUAGCUCAAUUGGAUAGAGCAUCUGACUACGGAUCAGAAGGUUGUGAGUUCGAAUCCCGCCGGGU
rnacentral:tRNA from 1 species